UAAACUUUGCUGCCUUCUCUCAUGCACGCACACUGGGGAUUCUUGCUCUGCACCGGGACACAGGCCCAAUGCUGAUGCGGAGCAGCCUGAAGGAAAGAGCGAGAGGUGGAGGGAAGCGGAAAGGGAGGAGUAAGAAAUGGAAAGAGAUCCUCAGAUUCCCACACAUCAGCCAGUGUGAUGACCUUCGGAAAGGCCUGGAAAGGGAAUACAGCAGCCUGUGUGACAAGCAGCCCAUCGGCCGGCUCCUCUUCCGUCAGUUCUGCGAGAGGCGGCCAGAGCUGCAGCGCUGCAUCCACUUCCUGGAUGCUGUGAUCGAUUAUGAGCUCUCCCCGGAUGAGCGGCGCAAGGAGAUGGGCGACGAGAUCAUCCGAAGGUUCUUUAAAAGCGAGUCUUCAGACUAUAUGCCGGAAAUCAGUCAGGCCCUCAUGAACCAGUGCAUGGAGAACCUGCAGAAAAGUGCCUGUAAAGACCUCUUCAGCAGCUGUCUGCACCCUAUGCAUGAGUACCUGAGCGGCGCGCCCUUCGCCGACUAUCGGGACAGCAUGUAUUUCGACCGGUUCCUGCAGUGGAAGUACUUGGAAAGGCAGUCGGUGACCAAGGACACUUUCCGGCAGUACCGAAUCCUGGGCAAGGGGGGCUUUGGAGAGGUCUGUGCCUGCCAGGUACGAGCGACAGGCAAGAUGUACGCCUGCAAGAAACUGGAGAAGAAGCGGAUCAAGAAGCGGAAAGGGGAGGCCAUGGCCCUGAAUGAGAAGCAGAUCCUGGAGAAAGUCAACAGCAGGUUUGUGGUCAGCCUGGCCUACGCCUACGAGACGAAGGAUGCACUCUGCCUGGUGCUGACCAUCAUGAACGGGGGCGACCUCAAGUUCCACAUCUACAACAUGGGCAACCCCGGCUUCGAGGAUGAACGUGUCAUCUUCUACGCCGCCGAGAUCUGCUGCGGGCUGCAGCACCUGCACCAGGAGGGCAUUGUCUACAGGGAUCUGAAGCCGGAGAACAUCCUGCUGGAUGAUGACGGUGAGUGGGGAACACCCGGGGGGAGCUGCCAGUGUCUACAUGGCCCCUUCCCAGGACAUAUCCGGAUCUCGGACCUCGGGUUGGCCAUUAAAAUUCCAGAGGGCGAGAUGAUCCGUGGCCGUGUCGGGACUGUCGGCUACAUGGCUCCAGAGGUGAUUAACAACGAGCGCUACACCUUCAGCCCAGACUGGUGGGGGCUGGGCUGCCUGAUCUACGAGAUGAUCGAGGGGCAGUCGCCGUUCCGUGCCCGCAAGGAGAGGGUGAAGCGGGAGGAGGUGGAGAAGCGGGUGCAGGAGGAGCAGGAGCUGUAUUCUGACAAGUUCACCGAGGACACCAAGGCCAUCUGCAAGAUGCUCCUGACCAAGGACCCGAAGCAGCGACUGGGCUGCGAGGAGGAUGGGGCCGCCCAGGUGAAGCAGCAUCCGUUCUUCAGGACCAUCAACUUCAAGCGCCUGGAGGCCGGGGUCAUAAAGCCAUCGUUUGUGCCAGAUCCUCGUGCCGUGUACUGCAAGGACGUGCUGGACAUCGAGCAGUUCUCCACCGUCAAGGGCGUCAACCUGGACCAAACGGACAGUGAUUUCUAUGCCAAAUUCGCCACGGGCAGCGUCUCCAUCCCCUGGCAGAAUGAGAUGAUAGAGACCGAGUGCUUUAAAGACCUGAAUGUGUUUGGACCAAAUGGGAUGCGCUCCCCAGAUCUGGACUGGAAGCAGCUCCCCGAGCCGCCCAAGCGCAGCCUGCUUCAGCGGCUCUUCCGGCGGCACCCAGCUGACUACACCAUCAGCACCAACACACACUCCAACCUCACUGCGGGCGUGAACUCACAUCCUCCCACGGCCAACUCCGUCUGCCAAGGCCGGGCCAUGGCACAGGUGCCUUCCUGAUCCUCCCUUCUACCAUGGAGACCCUGCUCCGUUAGAGCCAGCACAGGCAGGCCCGGAGCUCGCUCGUGGAGCUGCCAUCCUUGCCUUCUCAGGGUUACCGUGGAUGUGAAGCUGAGGCUGUUGGAGCCAGAGCUGGGGUGAAGGGGCUGUUCCAUCACCCUGUCCUGCUGGGCUGAGUCACUCAUGGAGGCUGGGUGGGAAGAUGCAGCCCCACCCCCCCGCAGGACUGCGUGCCAGAUACUCUCGCUGCACCUCAUUCCAUCCGCUUGCCUCUGGGUACCGCCUCCAGAGCUGGCUCAGUCCUGCUCCCAGAGGCGCAUCGCGCUGGCACAGCCACAUGCCAAACACAGACUGCACAAGGGAGCCUGGAUCGCUCUGCACGCGCGAGAGAGGGUGGAAUUGGCGUUCAUUGGCACCAAUAGCUUCCUUGCCGUGCUCAGUGGGGUGGCCUCCCACUCUGCCCCCGCGGUUCCUGCUGCGAACCCUGCCCUGGGAGGUACUGUCGGCAUUGUGCCCACCCUGCAUCUGUCAGGAGAAGGGUGCUCCCUGCUUGUGUGUCUCCCCUGUCUGCAGGGUUUGGGAGAGAGGAGAAGUGGGGCUCACAGCCCAGGUGGGAGCCCCUAGCUGCUCAGGCUGAACAGGGGCCAGCCAUAGCCAGCUGCCUGCAGAGACCAGGGGACAAGUGUGCAGUGUGUUUUGUAGCUGCUUGGCCCCUUUCAGUCCAGGCAGGAUCUUUCCUUUUCUAGCACCGCCCCGCCCCCACCAAGAGCACCAAUAGAGGGGCUCAGCCAGCCAUGUCCUGCCAGCGCAGAGGAAUCUGGAGUUAUGGUUUGUAAAGAAGGGCAAAAUUGUCUGAACUGAAGGUGGAGAUCAUGUGACUGAACUCUCCACCUUGCUGCUCACCUCUGGUGGGGAUGCGAGUCAGGAUUGAGGGGCACCAGUAGAGCUCUGGGCUGGGGGGUCCCAGGGCUGGGAUGGGCGGGGGCUUGUGGGUCAGGAUUGAGGGGUGCCAGUGAAGCUCUGACCUGGGGGGUCCCAGGGCUGGGAUAGCAGAGGGGCUGUGGGUCAGGAUUGAAGGGCACGAGCAGGGUUGGGGGAGCCCAGGCCAGGGGAGCAAGGAGACUCUGUCUGAGUGGGGUAGGACCCAGGGGUCCUUUAAUUUGGGGUCAUGAAGGCCAUCAGUCAGUUGCACCCACUCCCCCUUGUUGGAGAGAAUUGGUGAAGGGAGCAAUGACCAAACUCGGUCUCUGAGCAGGGGAGGGAAGAGAUUUCCAAGGAACCACCCCCAAGCUGAGCUGCUGAGUGCACACACUGCAUUCGCUCAGACUUCGGCGUGACUCCGAUGUCUUAUACAGCCCUGGGUGCCUCUUUGCUCCCCAGUGAGGGCAGAGUAAAGACCCUCUCUCUUGGCCCAGUGGCUGGUGUCCUGACCCCCUAGGGCUGGGUCGGGAAGGAAGCUCCUAGCUCUGCCUGAUGCUAGCGACGUCAUGAGUUGCGGCAGGGGAAACACCUUUCAAUUCCUCUUUAUGUGAAACAAUUCCUUCCUCUCACCCCCCCCAGGUCAGUAGUUGCCAAAGGGACUCCUCUCUCGAGACUGGCCCUUGAGGCUGUGUUGUCCCAGGAGCCGGGGGUGGCAAUAAGACUCCUGAGCCAUAUCAGAUCUGCCAGGCCGAGAGUGGCAGACUCGCUGCACUUUGUGGUUUCGCCCGAUUCCAAGUCCAAUGCACAAACCCCCUUCUGUUCUCCAGCCUCACCGCUCCUCGGGGAGCUCGAUGGCGGAGUGGGCCAUGGGGUCCGGUGGGGCACGUAGCCGGCUCUUCCAGCCCCAGCCGCUGGCUCUCGAGGAAGCUGCGCGUUCUUCCCGGCCACUCGGCUCAUCGGAAUCCAAACAAGACGCUUCAUGGGGACAAUCUGCUGCAGGGGACUCAUGUCCCAAGGAAGGGGCUCUCUGAUGGGGGGAACCAAGGUUAAAGGCAGGCUGUGCUGUGCAGUCCCACUCGAGCUCUCCUUCUCUUCAUGCCUAGAGCAGCAGGUAAAGCUGGCCCCUGCCAUGGUCUUCUAGGCCUGACCAGAGCAAACCUUGUGAGUGGUGGUCCAAAGAUUAGCCAUUUCUGUCUGACUGACACCCGCCCCCUGUGGUAAGAAAGGGUAUUACAGCCUUAUGCCCCUCCCCUCUCUCAGCUGGAGCAUGAGCCAUGCCUGUGAUGACCUCAGCAGGUCCUGCAUUCAAAUUACUUCCAGCGUGAGCAUGUCUCCUCUGGGGAGUGGGAAUCUCUGGGAGCACAGUGGGGUGAUGGGGUUCCAGGCCUGGCUGGACUCCUGAUUGCUUGGUGGUUGUGUGGGAAGAAUCUUCACCUCCCCAGUUUGGUUUGCGCUGGUGGAACUGGGAGCUGAGUUCCUGCUGGUGGCAGCUGCAGUGCAGGCUGGGCUGGGGACCGUCUCUCACCCAGCUUUGAGCCUGGCCUGCAUGACAGCUCUCGCCAGUGGGCUGCGGCACUGGUGACUGGUGGGUCCCAUCCUUGCCAGUGCAGACAGGGCUGUCUGGGGGUCAUGCUGGGUUGUAAAGUAAGGAAAAGACAGUGCUGGUGAAAUGUUGGGUGAUGGCGCAUGGGGGAGGCUACCCCCCGGGAGCACUGCUGGAGCUGAGCAGUUGGGGUCUGGAUUUGGUCUCUGGAAGUGCCUGUGUCCCAGCCAUUGGCUUGGCUGGAUUGGCAUGGACCUUGCUUUGCCCUGGUCUUGGCAACCUGCUUGGCUAGAAGCGCAAACAGGUCAGGGGGAAAACAGUGCAAUGUUGCAGGAAAUUUAGAUGCAUCAAUGGAAGAUGUGUCUAAAUCCUCUAGACUGCUUGACAGCCUCAACCCAAAUUUAAAAAAACACUGAUCCCGCUGCACUCAUGUUACCAACAGUAACUGAAACAGAAAGUGGUUGCAAAAAGUUGUGUUCUUGUUCCCUUCAUGCAUUUUGCUCAGCCUGAAAGGAGAAAUUAGGCAGGUUGGUGUCAGUGGGUUUCACUUCCUAGUUCUCCAGAACCAGCCCAAGGUUGCAGAGAGCGAGUUGCAAACACUGCAGGAGGAGGUGUAAAACCAGACUAGGUGGUGUUCAUUGACACUUUCAGGUUGAUCCAAUUGUUAAAUUCUGUGAAACACUUCAUUUAGGAAAAAGUAGCUCUUGGGCCUAGAUGACAAGACUGUCCCGCUGAAAAAUACAAACUGAUGGCUUUGGUGUAAAUGAACCGGGAAAGAUUGUUUCAGAUGCCACGCCUCUUAUCCCUGGAGCCUCAGCAGAGAUCCUGAAAUAAACUCUGCUUGGUUUUUGAAGAACUUACAAUUCUAUGUGGGGGGAUGGGCAGAGAAAGUUUCUUGAAUAUGAUUGUAUCCUGCUCCAUCUCAUCGGAGAGGAAAAUGUCUUCUGAUACCAUUGAAAACGGGGGGUGUGAGAGAGAAAAUGAGUGUGUUUGUUAAGCAUACUGAGACCUGCCUUUUGCUGAAAGAUGCUCUGUGACCCACUGAGCUUGUCCAGAAAGAGACUGUGCGCCACAUGGACAGUGUCUGUUUCUAUGCAAGGAUAGGGUGCUGUCUCAUGCCAGUUUCUCCAGCGGGAUGCUCUGGGGAUUCCAAACAAGACGGAGUUUCCCCCUUGCAAAAAGACACGUGUAUUUUUGUAUUUUCCUUUCUCUCAGCAUCCAUGGGCUUUGGACUGGUUUUUUACACUGUAAAUUCCUGGUUCUGGAGUAUUCAGUUUGGUUUUUGUACAUUUGUAAACAUGUGUAAAUCCUUAUAUGGUGAGUGCCUGGAUGUACAUUUUAAAGCUAAAAGCAGCAAAGCAA